GACGAACGCUGGCGGCGUGCUUAACACAUGCAAGUCGAACGGAAAGGCCCUGCUUUUGUGGGGUGCUCGAGUGGCGAACGGGUGAGUAACACGUGAGUAACCUGCCCUUGACUUUGGGAUAACUUCAGGAAACUGGGGCUAAUACCGGAUAGGAGCUCCUGCUGCAUGGUGGGGGUUGGAAAGUUUCGGCGGUUGGGGAUGGACUCGCGGCUUAUCAGCUUGUUGGUGGGGUAGUGGCUUACCAAGGCUGUGACGGGUAGCCGGCCUGAGAGGGUGACCGGCCACAUGGGGCCUGAGAUACGGCCCAGACUCCUACGGGAGGCAGCAGGGGGGAACAUGGCACAAUGGGCGGGAGCCUGAUGCAGAAGCGCUGCGUGCGGGAUGACGGUCUUUGGGGUGUAAACAGCUUUCGCCUGUGACGAAGCGUGAGUGACGGUAAUGGGUAAAGAAGCACCGGCUAACUACGUG
rnacentral:rRNA from 1 species